rnacentral:rRNA from 1 species
AGCCGGGAAUGGAAAGACCGGUACAAGCGAGGUAGGAGAAGAGUUGGCAAAUCCGCUCUUUAAUCUGAAGACGUGAUGUGGACUGAAAAUAAGUAGGGAAGCACGUGAGCUGACUGUCAAGAAAAGCCGCUAUUGUUUGCAGGAUACCCGUACCGUAAACCGACACAGGUGGAUGAGGGGAGAAUCCUAAGGCCGACGGGAGAAGCAUUGUUAAGGAACUCGGCAAAAUGACUCCGUAACUUCGGGAGAAGGAGUGCCAGUAAGAUGGCCGCAGAGAAUUGGCCCAAGCAACUGUUUAGCAAAAACACAGGUCUAUGCAAAACCGAAAGGUGAGGUAUAUGGGCUGACGCCUGCCCGGUGCUGGAAGGUUAAGGGGAGAGGUUAGCGCAAGCGAAGCUUUGAACUUAAGCCCCAGUAAACGGCGGCCGUAACUAUAACGGUCCUAAGGUAGCGAAAUUCCUUGUCGGGUAAGUUCCGACCCGCACGAAAGGCGUAAUGAUUUGGGCACUGUCUCAACAAUGCACCCGGUGAAAUUGAAAUACCAGUGAAGAUGCUGGUUACCUGCGCCAGGACGGAAAGACCCCAUGGAGCUUUACUCCAGCUUGAUACUGGGAUUCGGUAUUGCAUGUACAGGAUAGGUGGGAGGCUAGGAAAUGGUAACGCCAGUUGCCAUGGAGCCAAUUUUGGGAUACCACCCUUGCAGUACUGGGUUUCUAACCAGCAGCCGUGAUCCGGCUGGGGGACAAUGUCAGGUGGGGAGUUUGACUGGGGCGGUCGCCUCCGAAAGGGUAUCGGAGGCGCUCAAAGGUUCCCUCAGAAUGGUUGGAAACCAUUCGAAGAGUGCAAAGGCAGAAGGGAGCUUGACUGCGACACCGACGGGUGGAGCAGGUACGAAAGUAGGACUUAGUGAUCCGGUGGUAUAAAGUGGGAUUGCCAUCGCUCAACGGAUAAAAGCUACCCUGGGAUAACAGGCUUAUCACUCCCAAGAGUUCACAUCGACGGAGUGGUUUGGCACCUCGAUGUCGGCUCAUCGCAUCCUGGGGCUGAAGUAGGUCCCAAGGGUUGGGCUGUUCGCCCAUUAAAGCGGUACGCGAGCUGGGUUCAGAACGUCGUGAGACAGUUCGGUCCCUAUCCGGCGUGGGCGUAAGAUAUUUGAGAGGAGCUGUCCUUAGUACGAGAGGACCGGGAUGGACUGGCCGCUGGUGUAUCUGUUGUCUUACCAAAGGCAUAGCAGAGUAGCCAAGCCGGGAAGGGAUAAACGCUGAAGGCAUCUAAGCGUGAAGCCCCCCUCAAGAUGAGAUAUCUCAUAACGUCAAGUUAGUAAGACCCCUUGAAGACGACGAGGUAGAUAGGGCAGAGGUGGAAGUGUGGUAACACAUGGAGCUGACUGUUACUAAUAGGUCGAGGGCAUAGC